AUUGAACGCUGGCGGCGUGCCUAACACAUGCAAGUCGAGCGGUAGCAGGCGUAGCAAUACGUGCUGACGAGCGGCGAACGGGUGAGCAAUGCUUCGGAAUCUGCCCAAUGGUGGGGAAUAACCAGCCGAAAGGAUAGCUAAUACCGCAUACGUCCUGAGGGAGAAAGCGGGGGAUCGCAAGACCUCGCGCGAUUGGAGCGGCCGAUAUCGGAUUAGCUAGUUGGUGGGGUAAAGGCUCACCAAGGCGACGAUCCGUAGCGGGUCUGAGAGGACGACCCGCCACACUGGAACUGAGACACGGUCCAGACUCCUACGGGAGGCAGCAGUGGGGAAUUUUGGACAAUGGGGGCAACCCCGAUCCAGCCAUUCCGCGUGAGUGAAGAAGGCCUUCGGUUGUAAGACUCUUUCUAGCAGGAACGAAACGGUA
rnacentral:rRNA from 1 species